GGGUUAGAACACGUUUUGGGCAGCCUCCAUCCUCUCUCCUCCUCAUCCUCUUGCUCUUGGUGUUUGUGAACCAUUAGAGGAGUGACAUUUGUGACUCUAAGCUUUCUAAAGUCAAUACAAGGAGGAUUUGGGAUUGUUAUUGCUACAUAGCAAUCAAGGUAUGAUUUAAACCCUAAUUAUAUGUUAUAUUGAUUGUCAUAUUCUAGAUCUAGGGUUUAUAGUCUUGGAUAACUUGCAUGUACAAUAGAGAAACCUAGAUCCAAGCAUUAGGGUUUGUAUGAGCACAUAGGAUGUUCUUAGGACCAAAAACCAUCAGUGGUAUCAGAGCCUUGAUUGGUUUCUAUUGUAUUGAUGCAUUAUGUGAUUAUUCAAGUUUCAAAAUCGAAUUUUGAGCCAUCUUCCUGAUGAACUCGGCGAGUACCACAGUGUACUCGGCGAGUAGGCCUCAACUCGGCGAGUACAGUGUGGUACUCGGCGAAUUCGAGCGUCAGAUGGAGCUAUUUUCGGGAUUUCUUGCUGUUUAUCUUUGAGAUACUUGCCUUUAUCAUAUUAGAUCAAUAUAAAUCCGAUUUUACGAUAUAUAUGAGUAUGUUCUUGAUCUAAUUGAAGAUAUUUAUCAAUUAAUAAAAUAUUUGUUUCCUUAUGUGAUAAUUGAUUGAUUAUUUUGAUUAAAUUGGUAAAUUGUUUUGCAAAAAAUCAAUUAAAUAAAUCAAAUAUGGAUAAUUAUGUGAUUAAAUGUCAGCUUAGAUUAUUUGUUAUUUGAUCCUUGUUGUUAUGAAAAGUUUCAUAUUUUCCUCUUUAGGUUUUAUAGUUUAAAUUUGAACCCAAAAAGUUUUGUUGUUUUGAAAUUUAAAUAAUUGAAACCCUAACGUUUUGAAAUGGCUCAAAACUUGCCCUCAAGUUUUGGAAUUUAAAUUUUGAUUAAUAGUUUAAUUUUCAUGUAUAUUUAAAUUCUAAACCUAAUGUUUUGAAAUGUUUCAAAACUUGCCCUCAAGUUUUGGAAUUUAAAAGUUGAUUAAAAGUUUAAUUAGGAAUGUUAAAUUCUAAAACUCUAGUAUUGUUUUGAAAAAGUUCAAAUCACACCCUUAUGGUUUUAUUAAUUAAUUAAGGUGUAUAAUUAAAAGAGGUUUAAUAAAUCCAUAAAAGUUUAGGUUUACAAUUUAAUUGAAUUAAAAGUAUAAUUGUUAAAUUUGACCACCUAAUAUUUUAAAGGUGUAAAAUACACCCUAUACUAUAUAUAACAUUAAAAGUCUAACAUUAUAUAUAUGUAUGAGUAAAAGUCAGUCUUACCGUUAGUAGGCCUCAUUCACGAAGCUGGUCUAUAAGGGGUGUUUAAGGAAAUUGCCUAUAAAAUGGCGAUUGAAUGGGUAUCCACUCUUACCCACCGCACUCUUGACUAGUGGAGGGUCGUUAGCCGAACGGGUAGGAUAGGACGAAACCUUCCAUUAUAAGUAUAAUGAAUUAUUAAAGUAACUAAAUGUUUUCAUAAAAUUCCCAAUCUUAGUUACUUAGGCAAAAGUGAAUUGAUGCAAUUCCAUGAAAUUACACUUUGUGCCCUUGCGAAGACGUUAGUGGAGCGUGUGUGGUUUACCGGCACACUAAAUGGUUCUAAGCAAAGGUAGCAAAGGGUGACUCAAUGUUUGUCAUAGUUCGGUGGAGCGUGUGUGGUUUACCGGCACAUCGAAUAGGUGACUGUAACAUGUGAGGGCACCAUGUAAGUUUGCAUGGUUAUUCACACCCGCUUUGUGAUCCUCGGCAUCCCAGUCACAAACAAGAGGGGCAUAUCGAGAUUUAAACAUGCCAUUGAAAUGUUCAAUGGAUCUCAAAGAAUCUAGGAGUUUUCAUAGAAUUAAAACUUAAUUUCUUUUUCGUUUUUCAUGGUGGAAAUUAGUGAAUCGUCAUUCACUUACCUUCAAAUAUUCUGCAAUUAGGGUUACGGCAUCCCUCUCCCGAGUUGUAGAAUAUUGUGUUGGGUCCUAGCCUUAGUAUCUCAUUUGGGUGAUUUACUAAGGACUCAAUCAAUCAACUAACUUGAAUUCGUUUUCUCCCGUUUUGUAGAUGUCAAAGUUCGACAACUAUGGUCUUCCCAAAUCCCGUGGAACAAGCAUUCCACAUGAAGAUGAUAUUCCACGAUUCGAUCGAGGAACAAGAAAUCAUGCUUCACUUCCUCCUCCUCCUCCAAUUAUUCUCCCUAACCCACAAGUUCAAAGGCUUGAAAAGUUCAAGAUCACUCAAGCCCUUUUGGCAAGUAAACAUAAAGAAGGAAAGUCGGUGUGUGCACACGUCCUAGGGAUGAAGUCACACAUUGAUAGGUUAAGAAUGUUGGGAUCCGUUGUCUGUGAGGAAAUGGCUGUUGAUUGGGUUCUUCAGUCACUUCCUAACUCAUAUAGUGAGUUCGUAAGAGAGUACUAUAUGAUGAACCGCGACGUGACCCUUAUAGAUCUCACCUAUAUGCUUAUUGCUGCUGAAUCAGCAAUGGUUUGGCGCAAUAGAAAAGCAAAGUUGAUUGGUGAAUCUGCCUUCAAGACCUCUAUGGAUAUAGACAAUGGCAACGAAAGACAUGCUAUGAUCGAAAAGUUUGAUCAUAAGAGAAAGGCAAUGUCUGAAGUAGUUCCAUGUCAUGUUCCAAAAGAGUCAAUUUGCUUUUAUUGCCAAGAGAAAGGGCAUUGGAGACGAAGCUGCCCCAUUUACCUAAGAGAUCUAAGAGAUGGGAGAGUCGAAACGUAUGGCUCUAAUAUAGGUAAAAUCCAUUAACUAACUCUUUUAAGCUUCUAUUCUAGAUUCUUAAUACAUAAUGUGAUAAGAUUACAAUUGAUGUUUUGUAGGAUCGAAGAAAAGAAAGGAAGCUUAAGGGAAGAAGUGAGCAGAAUCUAACCGUGAAGGAAUGGAUUUCGAUCGCAUUUCUCGAAGAUUAGAUUCUUGAGCUACUACUUAGAGUUAGAAUUAGAUUGCUAAGAAAGAUGUAUUAGCAUAGUUUUUCAAUGAAUUGCAUUGUAAGGACAAAUUUUUUCCGCAAUAAAAUAAAUUUUGAUUUUAUAUUAUUUAUUUAUCCUUGCAAUGGCGUAUAUGAAAAAUUGAUGUUUGAAUGUUUCUAUUAUUAGCAAUAAUGGAUUUGGUUCUUAUUAUGUUAUUUAUGGAAAGUCGAGAAUUUACCAAAUAGGGAGAGUUUCUCAUCGCCCAAGUUUCAAUUGGACAGAAACUUGGAAUCAUGCAACUUGGUUGCACGAUGAAUGAGAAAUUUCAUAUUUGGAAAUUAGACUAAUUCAUUGACAAAGUGUCAAGUGAAGGACUAGGAGAUCGAGUACACAAAGUUGCGUGUUGAUCAAGUCCACCAUAAGAGUAACAAAGAUAUUCGUCAUGAUUUACUAAAGGUUUAGUAAAUAUGAUUAUACUUACAAGAUUAAGUGUAAUUCUGAAUUGAUUGAAAAAGUUUAAAUCAAUAGCAGAACGAAUAAGAAGAAUCAAGUAGGCAGAAAGAUAAAAGUUUCUCCAUUCUAAGAAGAAGGGAGAGUACCUUUUAUGCUUUAUGAUAGGUCUUAAUGAUUAAGAACCAUAUCUCAAUUGAUCCUCUAAGUGAGUCUUAGUACAAUUGUAUGUCUAAGAAGAGGAAUCAAGAAUUGAAGAAAUGGUUAAAUCAAGAAGUCAAUCAUACUUCGUUCCAAAACAAGUCUUAGAGUUAAGAUUGUGACAUUGAGUGAAAAGUAUUAAGAAGGUUUAUAACAUUCAUCAAAUGUGGAAAGUUGUGAUGUCUUGGAUAAGACAAAGACCAACUAGGACCAAUUUAUGAAGUGUUUUGAUAAAAACUACACUAACUCUUGAAUAUUUGUUUGUCAAGAAAUGUUUAUUGACAAGAGAAUCUUAUAUGUCAAGGAGUCAGUGGGAGUCUUAAUGGUCUUGAAAGGUUUCAAGAACAAAUAAAAUAGACCUUAUCGAUCAUCACUAGCACACGAGUUGAGGUUUACAACCUAUCGUGUUGACAUUAUUUUGUUUCUGUGCUGUUCCAAUCGAGUUAAUUAUGCAUGUGAGUUCUAUGAGUUCUCAUUUUGAACGCAUAAAAGGCAAGGCACCUUAAUCAAUGAAAGGUACAUUGAUAGGAAAGGGUGAGCUGCUUAACUACUUGGAAGACGUGGUGGGCAGCUGUGCUACCAUAAGGCAAGAAAUCGAGAUUAAGAAAGUUCGAUCCAUAUGAGUUUGAAUUUGUCGUAAACUUUGGUUUUGACAAAUUCACAUGGAUAGGAACAAAUACACCAUUUAAAUCUAAGUGUCAUAAGAUUUCCUCCUUCAUGAAAAUGAUUGUGAGGAAACGCUUUCACUAAGAAAGAUUUUAAGAAGAUAGUGAUUGUAAAAUUGCAUUCUCGAAUUUGAUUAUGGUUACGGUAUCCCUUUCCAUGAUUUGAAUUGUGAGGUUUGGCAAUUAGUCUUAAUUGUUUAGACAUACAUAUGAACUAUCUAAGGCAAGUGUCUAUAUGUUCAAAAAGCCUUGAUAAAAGAUUAUCAAAGCAUUAAGUAUUAGAAACAUGGACUUAAGAAAUUCAAUAGGUAUUGUUUUUCUGAAAGAAUACAUGUCGAAGCUAAUGGGAGCAUAAAUGUUAUGUUUAUAAUAAUCAUCAUGAUAGUGGGAGCAUAAAUGUUAUGAUUGUAUGAUUAUUAAGGAACGUAUUGCAAGGUGGCAAUAUUAAUUAUAAAAAACCAAAGUUAUACCUUGCAAAGUCGUAAGGGUUAUUAAGUUGUUUUGCUAUAAUUAAGGGAGAGAAUAUUAUGCUUCAUUUCAAAUCUAAAGGCUAGGUUGAGAAAUGCUAAUAAAUUUAGUCAAAGGUACAUAGUGUGUUCUUAAAUUUUCGAUUAUGAUUACGACAUUCCUCUUCACAAUUUGAAUUUUGAGAACAUAGCAAAUAAAAUAUUAUGGCAGAAGAUUGAUAAUCUUUAUGUAAGACAUUAUGCAUUGUGUCCCAUACACUUCGGGUAUAGGAUCGAUUGCAUACGCUAUAAUAUUUGACCAUUCUAAACUUUCCCAAAUGUCUAGAGCAUUUAGAGGGAAAAGGAGAAGAAUCGGUUUUGACUAAGAUUAUUAAAAAACUAUCAAAGGACAAUCCAAAUUUCGACGAGGAUUGAUUACUUGUGAGUAGUUGGAAGUAUAGUAUUGAAAAAUAUGGAAGUAUUUCCAUGUUGGAUGGACCAUAUCAACUUUAUUACGAAUAGAUAAGAUUCUAUUAAGAAUGAGUUGUCAUAUGGAAAAUAUGGAAACGUGUCCAUAUUGGGAAUUGAAUAUUGAAAAUCUAUGUCUAGAUUAGAAACUUUUAUGCAAAAGGAUGUUCAAAGGAAUGUACUUUGAGUGAGAGACAUCAUAUCUAAGGAAUUGUAUUGUAACAAUCUCCGAUAGAGGAUUUUGUAAUAUCAUUGGCAAUAGUCUUUGUGACUUUGGUGCAGUGACAUUACGAAAGGAUCAUUGCAUAAAAUGUUAGAAUCAAAUAUAUUCUGUAAGUGGCAAGAAUUUGAUAUUUUUAAUUAUGGAAAGGGAUUAGGAGUUGUGAAAUGAGAAUGAUUGGAAAUGUGUUCAAUUUGAUCUAUUUCACAAAGUAAGAACCAUAGGUAAACAUUGUGUGCAUGCUAAGAGCAUGGGACAAGUGUAAUAAUUCAAGUAAGAAGUUGAUUACCCGAAACGACAAAUAAUGAGUAAUCGAUAUGGUGAUAAAUAAAAGGUGUUUUAUUUAUACUCAAAGGUUUGAGGCCAUAUGGGAUUAGUAUUAUUCUUGUGUUUCACUUUGCAUGUUUUGACUUCCUGAAUAAUUUAAUUGGUUAAGAACAGUCAAAUUAUUCGAACGGGCCACAGUCGUUCAUAUGUUGGAAGUAGGUAUGAAUGAAGACUGUCGUGAAUUGGUGUGUGGAUUGUCUAAAGAGUAUUAGACAUAAGCAAAUGUUUGCUGCAACGUUCAUGAGUGCUUAUGAAUAUGAUUUGAGCAUUGGAUUAAACCCACGCUCACUUGGAUCACUCCAUGAAUUGUAUCACGAGUGAUUGGUGAGACGAUAACAUCUUAUAUUCUUGAAACCGAGAUGUGUGAGUUGUAUCUUGCAAAUCGGUUGCACAUUGAUAAUAUGUAAACGCACUAGUAACUUGGUGUUAUAAAACAUAUUGUUGUGUGUGAUUCGGUGAGUGAGUGCAAGCGAGCAUUGAAUCAAAGUUUAUCCGUUCCUUUUAUCCAAAGUAGGAUAAAAGCGAUAUCUUUGGGCCCCUCGAUGAUUUAGUGAUGACAAACGUAAAUGCUCGGCCGGGCUAGGGCUAAUUUGAUUUGUUCAAUUAGUCAGUCGUCAUAAAUCGGAAGUCGAGAAAUAGUACAGAGAGAAUGAUUAGAAAUCAUGUCUCAUACGAUAUCUAGAAUGGAGGAAUAUAUGAUCCCUUAUCUAAAGGACACGCGUAUCUGAUAGGAUCAGAGUUGACAGCGGCUUUGGAAAGCUACGAUUGCAGAUCAGGAUCUGAAGUCAUACGCAGAAUAGUUAUUAGACUUAUCCAAGUGGGAGACUGUUGGAUUAGUGUCUAAGUCCAUAACUAUUUUGGUAUGUACUUGACCCGAUGGUGCAUGGUCCUUUUGGGUUGCCUUCACCAAAGCAACUUGAUAGGAUGAAUUAUGGAGAGAAAGGAUUAAAUAUGAUUUAUUAAUAUAUUAUGAGAAUAAUAUAUUAAAGGAGAAAUCAUAUUGUUUAAUUAAUAUUAAUCAAGAAUUAAUUGGUAAUUAGUUUUGUGACUAAAAGAGAUUAAUUAAACUUAAGGGACUAGAAUUGUAAUUAUAAGAUAAUUGCAAUUUGGGCUAUGGAUUGCCUUACAUUAAGGAGUGGACGAAUUCUAUGGGGAAACCCAUUAGAAAUCGUCCAAGGCCUUAAGGAAAGGAGUCAAUGGGUUGCUUAGGGCUUAAGCAUCCAAAUUAGGGUUUCCUUGUUAGAUAACCUAAUAGCCUCACUAUAUAUAGAACCCUUAAGGCUCAAAAACGUGGACAAACAUCCUUCUAGGGUUAGAACACGUUUUGGGUAGCCUCCACCCUCUCUCCUCCUCAUCCUCUUGCUCUUGGUGUUUGUGAACCAUUAGAGGAGUGACAUUUGUGACUCUAAGCUUUCUAAAGUCAAUACAAGGAGGAUUUGGGAUUGUUAUUGCCACAUAACAAUCAAGGUAUGAUUUAAACCCUAAUUAUAUGUUAUAUUGAUUGUCAUAUUCUAGAUCUAGGGUUUAUAGUCUUGGAUAACUUGCAUGUACAAUAGAGAAACCUAGAUCCAAGCAUUAGGGUUUGUAUGAGCACAUAGGAUGUUUUAGGACCAAAACCCAUCACUGCCCAUAUGACCAGAAGGUCAGGUGC
rnacentral:lncRNA from 1 species